UCCUAACCCUCUGCUCCACUGGCUGUGCUUUUACGAGCUGGAGCUUUGGAGGGUCUGGGGAGCAUCUUGGGUAGGGGGGAGAUGAUGCUAGUGGCAGGUUGCUCCCGCGCCCCCUCCAACUGCAGCUCAGUUGAGAGAGAGAGAGAGAGAGAGAGUCUGUGCUAGCCAUGGCUUUGCUACCUACUGUAUUUAUUCUCAGGUCCUUUUUUUGUAUCCCGAGACCGCACAAAUGGUCGCCUGAUCGAUCGGAAAUAGGAGGGAAAGGUAGAGUGGAAAUUGAUUUUUUUUUUUUUUUUUGCGGAGACUGAGGCGCCGAAUCAUAGAGGGAAUAAACGUUUAGCCCGGAUAAAAAUAUUCUUGGUAAGUAGUCUUUCUUUUCCGUGGUUGGAAAGGACACGCUGCUCCCAUCCCCCAUCCCAUUCAUUUAUUUGCUCUCUGCAUGUAAAUCACGAGCUAGGUUAGUGGAAAAAUUCUUUUCCUCUUUGCUAGGAGAGUAGUACCACGUAGGGGUGAAUUUGAAGUAGGGAGCAUGAUGAAGACAAGUCUGGAGACUUUAAGGUUUUUCAUUUCCUGCAUUCAAAACCCAAACACAGGCAAAGAUGCUAAAUGCUGUUUGCUUGCUAAAUGGGGUGUUUAAAUACCAUUUUCAUUUCUUACCGACUCUCCUUUUGAAAAUGAAAUAGUUUCUGGUAGUAGCUCCAUGACUAUGCUUUUCAUGUACCUUGGUCAUGUUCUAAAAAUAAGCAUUGUUCACAUUUUGCCAGGAAUUUGAAAACUACGCAUAUUUUUUUCCUGGUUUUAGUGUAGUGGCUGUGUGUGUGUGUGUGUGUGUGUGUGUGUGUGUGAGAGAGAGAGAGAGAGAGAGAGAGAGAGAAAGAGAUUGGGAGAGAGAGAAAGUUAUUUGCAGGGUUUUUUUUUUUUUUUGGUGAUGCCUGUAAAUUCAGGAAGCUCUUUGGUUUUUCAUGAGUCAAUAGCACCCCCAUCCUGCACAAGCUCAUUAUGUGAAGAACAAGAAGGUGUGAGAGAGGGAAGGAGCCAAGCAGCUCUAGAUAGUGAUUAUCUCAUGUGUCACUAAGUGUGCAGAAUAAUAAAUCUUGUGAUUGUGUGAACUUGGA